AAGUAUUUUAUACAAGUUUUUAAUUUUGUUAAUUUUUGAGUGUAGUGCUGCCAGAUCGAGAGAGCGCUUAAAAAGCCAGCGCUGCCAGAUGCUACAAAUGUGUGCUUGCUGUCGCAGUGUACACGAGCCAGCUAGCAACUCUGUGUAAGAUGCCAGCGCUGCCAGACUUUGAUAAUAUAUACUGUUGUUGUUUCUAUUCAAAAAGCCGGCAUAUUCGUGUGUUAUGUAUGCAGCUGCUGUUCCACAGCUGCUCAGAUGUCCGGGGGCAUCCAGGCGAGCCGGCAAACGCCUGAUCAGCUAUGUGCUGGGCAUCGAAACAUCCUGCGAUGACACUGGCAUUGCCAUUGUCGAUACAACUGGUCGAGUGCACGCCAAUGUGCUUGAGUCCCAGCAGCAGUUCCACACACGUUACGGUGGCAUCAUACCGCCACGUGCUCAGGAUCUGCAUCGGGCGCGCAUUGAAAACGCCUACGAGCGUUGCCUGGAGCAGGCGCAACUGCAGCCGGAGCAAUUGGAGGCGAUUGCGGUGACGACACGGCCGGGACUGCCGUUGAGCUUAAUUGUGGGCCUGCGUUUCGCACGGCAUCUGGCACGCCGGGAACAUAAACCCCUGCUGCCCGUGCAUCACAUGGAGGCACACGCACUGCAGGUGCGCAUGGAGCAGCUGACAGAGAUUGGCUACCCAUAUCUGUGCCUGCUCAUCAGCGGCGGCCACUGUCAGCUGGCCCUGGUGCAGGGUCCCGGCCGUCUGACGCUGCUCGGCGAAACGCUGGACGAUGCGCCCGGCGAGGCGUUCGAUAAGAUAGCGCGACGCCUGCGGCUCUAUGUGCUGCCCCAGUAUCGGCUGUGGAACGGCGGUCGUGCCGUCGAGCAUGCUGCACAAACGGCACGCCAACCGGCUGCCUAUGAGUUCCCGCUGCCGUUGUCAAGGCAGCGCGACUGCAACUUUAGCUUUGCGGGCAUCAAGAACAACUCGUUUCGUGCCAUACGCAAACAGGAGCUGGCCGAGCGCACGCCGCCCGAUGGCAUCAUCAGCAACUACAAUGACUUCUGUGCGGGUCUGCUGCGUGCGGUCAGUCGCCAUUUGAUGCAACGCACACAACGCGCCCUCGAGUACUGUCUGCAGCAGGGCUUAUUUGGCGCCGCGCCACCCACCCUGGUCAUCUCGGGCGGCGUGGCCAACAACGAUGUGAUCUUUGCGAAUCUGGCCCAUUUGGCGGCGCAAUACAAUUGCCGCGCUUUUCGACCCUCGAAGCGCUACUGUUCCGACAAUGGCGUCAUGAUAGCCUGGCACGGCAUCGAGCAACUGCUGCAGGAUGGACAGAAUAGCCUGCGCCGGGACAUCGAUUGCAUUGAUAUUGCAGGCAGCGCUGGCUUUCAGCACACGGCGGUCAGCGAUGUGGCGCUGGCGGGCAUCAAAUGCAAGUGGAUCAAACCGCUUUAGGCCAGCAGCACGACAAUAUCAACAAGCUCUGAUCCGAGCCGUAGCUAAAUCUAGAUCAUCUGAAUGAAUGAUAGUCGGCUCUAUUAAGGAUUAAGGAUUUGACAAACCCAAGCAGGAGCAUUGGCUCGAGCCGCAAAGCACAGCAAUCUGGAUGGAACAUAGACAGACUUGGUUGUAGAUACUGUUCCAGAAUAUAUAUAUAUACAUAGUUUAGGCAAGAUCGGAGCUAUCUAUCUUUAAGCUGGAGUCGUGUCGUGUCUGGGUAUAAAAUUGCCAACUGUUGCUUAAGGAUUUUGGAUUCAAGCCUUAAAACUGAGCAAGGAUACAGAUCAAGAAUAUAUAUAUAUACAUAGUUUAGGCGGGAUCGGAGCUAUCUAUCUUUAUGCUAGAGUCGUGUCGUACCCAACUGUUGCCUUAGCCCAAAGUUGAUUUCGUUUGGUUAUUGCUUUUUUUUACAUUAUAUUUGUUUUUUUUUUCUUUUUCUUUUUUAUUAUAUUAUCUGAAAUCAAUAAUGUCAAAUGUCUAAGGUCUAAAAAAAAAAAAAUGUAAAAAUUGAUAAUGUAUACAUAUAAAAAUAUGAAAAAAUGCAUUAGUUCUUCAACUGCGUCUGCUGCUACGCUUUGUUUGUUUUUUUUGUUUUUGUUUUUAUGCUGAACUACAAUACAAUUCUCUUUUGUCUGGAUAUUAUACUUAUAAGGUUUUCGAUUUUCUCAAAUUUUCUCAAUUCGUUUUUUUUUUGCAACCCUUACUUAUAUAUUUCAAUACUCUUACUUUUAUUACAUAAUAGCGUUACAUACAAUUACGCAUAUUUCUUUUAUUAUAAUUUUAAGUUUUAGUUUUUCUUUCCUUGUUUUUUUUUUAGUUAAUUUUGUGUACCGUUAUUAUUGCGUGUGUAAACAAAUGGUAGACAUAUGCACGUAUUUUAUUUAUUUAUUUUGCAUUUGUGUUUAUUUAAUAUAUUUCCUGGCUGCUCGCGCUUCUUUUUCUAUUGCCGUGAGCAGUUGCUUUUUCUCCUAUAUUUAUGCAAAACACAAAAUUGCAUAGUUCUCAGUUUUGUUCUGGUUUGUUUUUGCUUCGAUUCCUUCUUCUCCUUACUUUUGUAUAUAUAUAUAUAUAUAUGAAUAU